GGAAGCGUCCAAGAGGCAGUUAAUAUUCUCAAUGAAGUGGUGACCAUGUUUUUCCCUGUUAGAGAGAAGAGAGCCGAUUCUAAAGACUCACCCUGCAAAUACAAAAUAGAUAUAGACUCCAGGUCAUGUGAGAGUCGGAAAUUGGUGAAGGCAUCACACAACUGUCAUAGUCAAGACACUCAAAUAACGCAGUUCCUCGACUUCAAUUCUUAUUAUUCUUGUAUUGCUUUAUUGUGUGCAAAAGGGGAGUAUGAUAAUGC
rnacentral:misc_RNA from 1 species